rnacentral:rRNA from 1 species
GACGAACGCUGGCGGCGUGCUUAACACAUGCAAGUCGAACGGAAAGGCCCUGCUUGCAGGGUGCUCGAGUGGCGAACGGGUGAGUAACACGUGGGUGAUCUGCCCUGCACUUCGGGAUAAGCCUGGGAAACUGGGUCUAAUACCGGAUAGGAGCCAUUUUUAGUGUGAUGGUUGGAAAGUUUUUUCGGUGUAGGAUGAGCUCGCGGCCUAUCAGCUUGUUGGUGGGGUAAUGGCCUACCAAGGCGGCGACGGGUAGCCGGCCUGAGAGGGUGGACGGCCACAUUGGGACUGAGAGACGGCCCAGACUCCUACGGGAGGCAGCAGUGGGGAAUAUUGCACAAUGGGCGCAAGCCUGAUGCAGCGACGCCGCGUGGGGGAGGACGGCCUUCGGGUUGUAAACUCCUUUCGCGAGGGACGAAGCUUUUUGUGACGGUACCUAGAUAAGAAGCACCGGCUAACUACGUG